AAUCAACGCUGGCGGCGUGCCUAACACAUGCAAGUCGAGCGGGAAAGAGGGCUUCGGCCCCUGAGUAUAGCGGCGGACGGGUGAGUAACACGUGGGUAAUUUGCCCUUGGGUGUGGAAUAACUCAGGGAAACUUGAGCUAAUACCGCAUGACAUCCCCUUCACACACGAGUCGGGGAUCAAAGCCGGGGACCCUUCGGGGCCUGGCGCCUGAGGAGAAGCCCGCGCCCGAUUAGCUAGUGGUGAGGUAAUGGCUCACCAAGGCUUCGAUCGGUAGCCGGCCUGAGAGGGCGGACGGCCACACUGGGACUGAGACACGGCCCAGACUCCUACGGGAGGCAGCAGUGGGAAUUUUGUCAAUGGGGAAACCCUGAACAAGCAACGCCGCGUGGAGGACGACGACCU
rnacentral:rRNA from 1 species